UACACUACACCCCUUGGAAAAUAGUGAAGGUUAGCUUAGGUUAGCUUAGGUUAAGGUGUGGUGCAAAAAAGGUUAGGUUAGGUUUCGUUAGGUUAGAUAAGGUUAGGUUAGUUAAGGUGUGGUGCGGCAGUGUUUCAGCAUGUGGGCCUAACAUUCAACAGCCGUCCUGCGCCCCCAGAGCCAGGUCACGUAAGACUGGUGCAGCAGAUGGCCAGCUCAAGGACACAGAGUCAGGUUGGCCAAAAUUUAUAGACGACAGAAGAUUGGCGCUACUAUAAGAGCAUCGCUAUUAUAGUAUCAAAGAGUUUUAAUAUAUAUUCUAACUCCUGUUUAUGUAUGUUGAACUCCUUAUUGAGAUUUUUGACAGGUGGUCUUAUAUCAAUGUGGCUUACUGCGGGCUCAUGAGGAUUUAUAGAUCUUCGCGGCCCUAUGAACAACAACAAUGACCCUUACUGCUGUGGGCACUGUGCGGUCCGGCACAGACAGGAGCUGGUCCGGGGCUGGUGACCGCAGUGACCUUUGUGACCGUGUAAACUCUGGGGCUGGUUCUUGCGAGCAGGUUGGGGCGGUGGCUGGACGGGGCCGGCAUUAGCUGGGGCAGAGGGCUCGCUACGUCCCGCUGUCGCUCCAAGGCAGUGACCCUCACACACAAGUCCUUGACCUCGCCCCGGAUUUCCAGCAAGAGCUGAACCACGUCCUGGAGGGUCGAAGGCACGCCAGCCUGCGAUGCGGGGACUGCACGCUCAGCCCCCUACUGCAGCAGUAUAGUAAGGGGCAGUCCUGGGUGGCACAGGGUCAGGUGGCCGUGAGGCAGGCGUGAUGAGAGAAUAAAGCAUUUCUAAGCAAGAUUUGAAGAUAUAAGAGCAUUUUUUUGGGUGUUUUUACGGUUCUCAAGGCAGAGUGACAUGAUUUCUACAUUGCUAACAGGAGAAACACUUUUGAAAACCUUCCAAUCAUCUCUGAGGCCUUGGAAAACAGUCGUGGAGAGAGAAUAAAGCUUUUUGCAAUGUGGGCGUAAUUCUGCCUUCAAAAGUACGCCUAGGGGUGGGUUGGACGUAAAAUUCACACGAAAAACUAGGAUAUUGUUGAAUUUUGUAAGAUUUCAGUACAGUAUGGUGUGUUUAUAUAGAAGUCAAGUAUUAUAUCACUGCCAUUUCUUAAGUAUACUGUUUCAAACUAAUAUAUCUUGUUUGAUGUUUUGUUAUACGUUUUAUCUAGUCAUAUCAUACAACAAAAACGACUAUAAAGUGAUAUGGAGGGACAAAAAUUUUAUUAAAGAGCGAAGAAUUAUGAGAAGAAGUCAUUACGAAAAGAUUGACUCAAAGCGAGAAGGUAAAAUCAAUAAACGACAGAAAUUUAUAGACGACAGAAGAGUGACGGUAUUACAAGAACAUCGCUAUUAUAGUAUCAAGGACUUUUAAUAUAUAUUUUAAUUCCUAUUUAUAUAUGUUGAACUCCUUUCUCGUGCUGUGGGUGGAGUGGGCGGCGUGUCGGGGCGUGGGCGGCGUUGAAAUAGGCCACAUACUCUCCCUGUCUCCACCACCACCUGACCACCACUCUCUGCGUCUUCCAUGCUGCUCGCUGACAGCAUUCCAUCGUCUGCAAAGAAUAAGUGAGUCACAUUUAAAGUGUCAUCUUUGAAGCACAAAUUUACACUUUCUAAUGUCUUUAUUAUUAUUUUGAAAGUUAUUAACCCCUUCAGUACUGGGACCUAUUUUUACCUUGAGGUUUGUGUACCAUUAGACCAUUUUGAUGACAUUAGGA